rnacentral:misc_RNA from 1 species
GGCUAUUUUGGUCACAAAAAACAAAAUAUCACAUCUAACCCAUAAUUAUUACAUUCUUUUUUUACAAAAAAAAGUCAAAAAAAACCAUAAAGUCCUUUCCAAAUCAAACUUUUUAGCCCAGGCUAAAAUACUAAGUCAAAAAGCCAACCCACCUUCCAAAACGGAGGCUUAAUAUUCUGAAUUGUUCAAUGUGUAGAAUGUGUACUCGUCGAGUAUUUAUAUGAAUAUAAAAAAUC